rnacentral:rRNA from 1 species
AACGAACGCUGGCGGCAUGCCUAACACAUGCAAGUCGAACGCUCACCGGGGUUUCGGCUCUGGUGGGAGUGGCGCACGGGUGAGUAGCGCGUGGGAACCUGCCCUUUUGUGGGGGAUAACCGAGGGAAACCUCGGCUAAUACCGCAUGCGCCCCUGGGGAGACCUGGGGGGCAAGAUUUAUCGCAGGAGGGGGGGCCCGCGUCGGUUUAGCUAGUUGGUGGGGUAACGGCCCACCAAGGCGAUGAUCCGUAGCUGGUCUGAGAGGAUGAUCAGCCACACUGGGACUGAGACACGGCCCAGACUCCUACGGGAGGCAGCAGUGGGGAAUAUUGGACAAUGGGCGCAAGCCUGAUCCAGCAAUGCCGCGUGAGUGAUGAAGGCCUUCGGGUUGUAAAGCUCUUUCGCCCGCGACGAUGAUGACGGUAGCGGGAGAAGAAGCCCCGGCUAACUUCGUGCCAGCAGCCGCCGUAAAAC